UUAUGGCCAUAUCACAUUGAAACACCAGCUCAUACAAUCACCAAAGUUAAGCAAUGUUGAACGUAGUCAGUACCUAGAUGGGUGACCCCUCAGGAAUGCCAGGUGCUGUAG